GGCUUACACAUGCAAGUCGAGGGGAACGACGGGGAAGCUUGCUUCCCCGGGCGUCGACCGGCGCACGGGUGAGUAACGCGUAUCCAACCUGCCUCUGACUGAGGGAUAACCCGUCGAAAGUCGGCCUAAUACCUCAUGGUAUCGUCUGCGGGCAUCCAACGACGAUUAAAGAUUUCAUCGGUCAGGGAUGGGGAUGCGUCUGAUUAGCUUGUUGGCGGGGUAACGGCCCACCAAGGCUACGAUCAGUAGGGGUUCUGAGAGGAAGGUCCCCCACAUUGGAACUGAGACACGGUCCAAACUCCUACGGGAGGCAGCAGUGAGGAAUAUUGGUCAAUGGGCGAGAGCCUGAACCAGCCAAGUAGCGUGCAGGAAGACGGCCCUAUGGGUUGUAAACUGCUUUUAUGCGGGGAUAAAGUGAGGGACGUGUCCCUCAUUGCAGGUACCGCAUGAAUAAGGACCGGCUAAUUCCGUGCCAGCAGCCGCGGUAAUACGGAAGGUCCUGGCGUUAUCCGGAUUUAUUGGGUUUAAAGGGAGCGUAGGCCGUGGAUUAAGCGUGUUGUGAAAUGCAGGUGCUCAACGUCUGCACUGCAGCGCGAACUGGUCCACUUGAGUGUGCGCAACGCAGGCGGAAUUCGUCGUGUAGCGGUGAAAUGCUUAGAUAUGACGAAGAACUCCGAUUGCGAAGGCAGCUUGCGGGAGCACAACUGACGCUGAAGCUCGAAAGUGCGGGUAUCGAACAGGAUUAGAUACCCUGGUAGUCCGCACGGUAAACGAUGGAUGCCCGUUGUCAGGCUGUUUCAGCCUGGUGACCAAGCGAAAGCAUUAAGCAUCCCACCUGGGGAGUACGCCGGCAACGGUGAAACUCAAAGGAAUUGACGGGGGGCCCGCACAAGCGGAGGAACAUGUGGUUUA
rnacentral:rRNA from 1 species